rnacentral:lncRNA from 10 species
AAAAGCUGGCGGGAAAGCUGGGCCAUGACACCCAGAUUAUCAUUGCCAGUGAAACCAACCUUGGUGGAAUCAUCUCAUUUGUGCUCCAGAGUUAGACGGCAAAGGCAGUGAAGGCAGAAGAGCCUGGUUAUGGACCAGAGAUGAAUGGGAGGCGUCUGAUUCAGGAUAUGCAGAAAAUCCAACAGCUCUGUUCUAUCAAUACGAAGAAGAGACCAAGAUGUUGCUGAAGGAAAUAUCCUAGCCACUUGGAAUGAUGCUAUCAGAAGAAGUAAAAAAAUGAUCCUGUAUUGCACAUUUGAAGUAGGAUAUUAAGUACAGUAAGAGUGAAUAAGUUGAGAAUACAUUUACAAUUUAGUUUUGUAAGCAAAUGGUGUUCUCAUGAUAAUUUUUGUGGUUCUUUUAAUAUUUAAUUUUACUUUUCACAUUUAAUUUUUCUUAGUAUUGGCGACAAAUUGUCAUAAGCAGUCAACGUUUUAGUCUGGUCUUUCUUUCUAGCCUUUCCACUGUCUUUUUCUCCAUGUCGCUUUGCGAACAGAGGCUGCAGUUUUGAGGGGUUUGGAAAGUUGAUGAUAAUAACCUAGCCGAGGGGAUAUAUAUAAAAAUAAUCCUGGAAAGAUGAAUGUGCAAAGAUGUUUAUGACAACCUGAUAGUGAAAAAUUGGAAAUGUUUUAAAGUUGAAUUGCUGGAGAUAUGUCAAAUAAAUCAUAGUACAGUUAAAUAGAGCAACACUCUGCAGCUAUUUAAAACAGUGAGGUAGAGCAACAUGCAUAGAUAUGGGAAUGCACUUAAAUCACAUUUUAAUUUAGCAUAGGUUUGAGUAUUUUUGAAAAAAAAAUAACCAAAAUGUUUAUAGUAUCACAUUUCCUGGUGGUAGAAUUAUGAGUGACUACAAAACUGGCCACAAAUUCUUCCAAUGUGCGUCCUUCUAUCAAAUAUUGGAAUCUGUUUCUCUAUUCCUUGAAUCUGGGUUGCCCAAGUGAAUGGGUUUUCCAAUAGACUGUUGGCACCAGGGACACAAUCAGAGGCUUGAAAAGAGCUUGUACGUUGGAACUUGCCUUCUUGCUUCUCCUGGGAACCCUGCUACUGCCACCAUGAGAAUGAAGCUGGACAAGCCUAAUGGAGAAUGAGACACUUAUGGACCAGCCACCUCUAAACAGUCCCCAGAAAUGGUGCCACCUAACUUCAUAGCAGUAGAAAAAUCUCUCAAGACAUUUCCCUGAGGAGGUGGCUAUGAUGGUAGAACUUACAAGACUUCAGUGGACAUAAGGAGACGGGGUCAAGGUGGCAGGCAAGAUGGUCAAAUAGAAGUAGCUUCAGUCUGCAGCUCCCAGUGAGAUCAACACAGAAGGCAGGUGGUUUCUGCAUUUCUAACUGAGGUACCCGGCUCAUCUCACUGGGACUGGUUAGACAGUGGGUGCAGCCCAUGGAGGGUGAGCUGAAGCAGGGUGGGGUGUCGCCUCGCCCGGGAAGUGCAAGGGGUCAGGGAACUCCCUCCCCUAGCCAAGGGAAGCCACGAGAGACUGUGCAGUGAGGAAUGGUGCAUUCUGGCCCAGAUACUAUACUUUUCCCAUGGUCUUUGCAACCCACAGACCAGGAGAUUCCCUUGGGUGCCUACACCACCAGGGCCCUGGGUUUCAAGCACAAAACUGGGCAGCCAUUUGGGCAGACACUGAGCUAGCUGCAGGAGUUUUUUUUCAUACCCCAGUGGCGCCUGGAAUGCCAGGGAGACAGAACCAUUCACUCCCCUGGAAAGGGGGCUGAAACCAGGGAGCCAAGUGGUCUAGCUCAGCGGACCUCACCCCCACAGAGGCCAGCAAGCUAAGAUCCACUGGCUUGAAAUUCUUGCUGCCAGCACAGCAGUCUGAAGUCGACCUGGGACACUCGAGCUUGGUGGCAGGAGGGGCGUCCACUACUACUGAGGCUUGAGUAGGCAGUUUUCCUCUCACAGUGUAAACAAAGCCACUAGGAAGUUU